rnacentral:rRNA from 1 species
AGGUUAAGCGACUAAGCGUACACGGUGGAUGCCUAGGCAGUCAGAGGCGAUGAAGGGCGUGCUAAUCUGCGAAAAGCGUCGGUAAGCUGAUAUGAAGCGUUAUAACCGACGAUACCCGAAUGGGGAAACCCAGUGCAAUACGUUGCACUAUCGUUAGAUGAAUACAUAGUCUAACGAGGCGAACCGGGGGAACUGAAACAUCUAAGUACCCCGAGGAAAAGAAAUCAACCGAGAUUCCCCCAGUAGCGGCGAGCGAACGGGGAGGAGCCCAGAGUCUGAAUCAGUUUGUGUGUUAGUGGAAGCGUCUGGAAAGUCGCACGGUACAGGGUGAUAGUCCCGUACACCAAAAUGCACAGGCUGUGAACUCGAUGAGUAGGGCGGGACACGUGACAUCCUGUCUGAAUAUGGGGGGACCAUCCUCCAAGGCUAAAUACUCCUGACUGACCGAUAGUGAACCAGUACCGUGAGGGAAAGGCGAAAAGAACCCCGGCGAGGGGAGUGAAAUAGAACCUGAAACCGUGUACGUACAAGCAGUGGGAGCACCUUCGUGGUGUGACUGCGUACCUUUUGUAUAAUGGGUCAGCGACUUAUAUUUUGUAGCAAGGUUAACCGAAUAGGGGAGCCGUAGGGAAACCGAGUCUUAACUGGGCGUCUAGUUGCAAGGUAUAGACCCGAAACCCGGUGAUCUAGCCAUGGGCAGGUUGAAGGUUGGGUAACACUAACUGGAGGACCGAACCGACUAAUGUUGAAAAAUUAGCGGAUGACUUGUGGCUGGGGGUGAAAGGCCAAUCAAACCGGGAGAUAGCUGGUUCUCCCCGAAAGCUAUUUAGGUAGCGCCUCGUGAACUCAUCUUCGGGGGUAGAGCACUGUUUCGGCUAGGGGGCCAUCCCGGCUUACCAAACCGAUGCAAACUCCGAAUACCGAAGAAUGUUAUCACGGGAGACACACGGCGGGUGCUAACGUCCGUCGUGAAGAGGGAAACAACCCAGACCGCCAGCUAAGGUCCCAAAGUCAUGGUUAAGUGGGAAACGAUGUGGGAAGGCACAGACAGCCAGGAUGUUGGCUUAGAAGCAGCCAUCAUUUAAAGAAAGCGUAAUAGCUCACUGGUCGAGUCGGCCUGCGCGGAAGAUGUAACGGGGCUAAACCAUGCACCGAAGCUGCGGCAGCGACACUUAGGUGUUGUUGGGUAGGGGAGCGUUCUGUAAGCCGUUGAAGGUGACCUGUGAGGGUUGCUGGAGGUAUCAGAAGUGCGAAUGCUGACAUAAGUAACGAUAAUGCGGGUGAAAAACCCGCACGCCGGAAGACCAAGGGUUCCUGUCCAACGUUAAUCGGGGCAGGGUGAGUCGACCCCUAAGGCGAGGCUGAAAAGCGUAGUCGAUGGGAAACAGGUUAAUAUUCCUGUACUUGGUGUUACUGCGAAGGGGGGACGGAGAAGGCUAGGCUGGCCGGGCGACGGUUGUCCCGGUUUAAGCGUGUAGGGGGAGUGACCAGGUAAAUCCGGUUGCUUAUCAACCCUGAGGCGUGAUGACGAUGCACUACGGUGCAGAAGCAGUUGAUGCCAUGCUUCCAGGAAAAGCCUCUAAGCAUCAGGUAACAUUAAAUCGUACCCCAAACCGACACAGGUGGUCAGGUAGAGAAUACUCAGGCGCUUGAGAGAACUCGGGUGAAGGAACUAGGCAAAAUGGUGCCGUAACUUCGGGAGAAGGCACGCUGGCGUUAGGUGAAAGGACUAGCUCCUGGAGCUGAAGCCAGUCGCAGAUACCAGCUGGCUGCAACUGUUUAAUAAAAACACAGCACUGUGCAAACACGAAAGUGGACGUAUACGGUGUGACGCCUGCCCGGUGCUGGAAGGUUAAUUGAUGGGGUCAGCCGCAAGGCGAAGCUCUUGAUCGAAGCCCCAGUAAACGGCGGCCGUAACUAUAACGGUCCUAAGGUAGCGAAAUUCCUUGUCGGGUAAGUUCCGACCUGCACGAAUGGCGUAAUGAUGGCCAGGCUGUCUCCACCCGAGACUCAGUGAAAUUGAACUCGCUGUGAAGAUGCAGUGUACCCGCGGCAAGACGGAAAGACCCCGUGAACCUUUACUAUAGCUUGACACUGAACAUUGAGCCUUGAUGUGUAGGAUAGGUGGGAGGCCUUGAAGUGUGGACGCCAGUCUGCAUGGAGCCAACCUUGAAAUACCACCCUUUAAUGUUUGAUGUUCUAACUCGGCCCCAUGAUCUGGGGUGAGGACAGUGUCUGGUGGGUAGUUUGACUGGGGCGGUCUCCUCCCAAAGAGUAACGGAGGAGCACGAAGGUUAGCUAAUCACGGUCGGACAUCGUGAGGUUAGUGCAAAGGCAUAAGCUAGCUUGACUGCGAGAGUGACGGCUCGAGCAGGUACGAAAGUAGGUCUUAGUGAUCCGGUGGUUCUGAAUGGAAGGGCCAUCGCUCAACGGAUAAAAGGUACUCCGGGGAUAACAGGCUGAUACCGCCCAAGAGUUCAUAUCGACGGCGGUGUUUGGCACCUCGAUGUCGGCUCAUCACAUCCUGGGGCUGAAGUAGGUCCCAAGGGUAUGGCUGUUCGCCAUUUAAAGUGGUACGCGAGCUGGGUUUAGAACGUCGUGAGACAGUUCGGUCCCUAUCUGCCGUGGGCGUUGGAAGAUUGAGAGGGGCUGCUCCUAGUACGAGAGGACCGGAGUGGACGAAUCACUGGUGUUCGGGUUGUCAUGCCAAUGGCAUUGCCCGGUAGCUAAAUUCGGAAGAGAUAACCGCUGAAAGCAUCUAAGCGGGAAACUUGCCUCGAGAUGAGUCUUCCCUGGGGCUUAAAGCCCCCUGAAGGAACGUUAAAGACUAUGACGUUGAUAGGCUGGGUGUGUAAGUGCAGCGAUGUAUUGAGCUAACCAGUACUAAUGAUCCGUGAGGCUUAACCU